GCAGGAUUAAGGGUUUGCGUUAGCAUGCCUAUUGCACUAGUGUUGCUAGAAGCAUUAUCCAUAGAAAUUACCAUUAUUUUAUCACUAAAGCAAAAAUAUCUACAUAUAUCUGAAACAGUGUUAGCUAUAAACCUACCCGUCUGCCGUGAAUUAAUUAUUCUAUAUGCAAUUAUGCGUUUUCAUCUAUCCAAUUACUUGUUACAGUUAGAUAAUCACAGUCAUUAUUACUUCUACCAAUAUCAGUUGUAAUAGAAAUACGAUUAGGUAUAUGAGUAAAUAAAUAGCGCAACUAGUGUUGCUAGAAGCAUUAUCCAUAGAAAUUACCAUUAUUUUAUCACUAAAGCAAAAAUAUCUACAUAUAUCUGAAACAGUGUUAGCUAUAAACCUACCCGUCUGCCGUGAAUUAAUUAUUCUAUAUGCAAUUAUGCGUUUUCAUCUAUCCAAUUACUUGUUACAGUUAGAUAAUCACAGUCAUUAUUACUUCUACCAAUAUCAGUUGUAAUAAAAAUACGAUUAGGUACAUGAGUAAAUAAAUAGCGCAAAUAUUGUUCAUAUUCCUGCUUGAAUUUAUAAAUAUCGGCCUU
rnacentral:lncRNA from 1 species